UCUGGGUCCUGGUCAAAUUGGUUUAUGCUCUGCCCCAAAAAGCUGAGAGGAGCCCAGGGAAGGGGUUAAUGAGAACAGGCUGGCAUCAGCCCAACAGUGCCCUCCUUUUUAGUCUCAAGCCCAAGAUACUGACUGACGUGGAGAAUCCCAGUGGCUUUGGCAGACCAACCUCAUUGAGAACUUUAAAUGGUUUCCAAUGUUGGGCCCAACAUGGAAAGAGCACAGGCCUUGGAGUAUAACAGAUCUGGGUGGGUCAAGAAGCCAUAUAGAUGGAUGGACUUCAGGGAUUCUAAAACAGAGCAACUAGGGGCACCUGGAUAGCUCAGUCACUUGAUUUGAGUGUCUGACUUUCGAUAUCAGAUCUGGUCCUGAUCUCGGGGCUGUGGGAUUCAGCCUGCCUGUCAUCGGACCCCUCACUCUGUGGGGAGUCUGCUGAAGAUUCUC